GCCUUUUCUUCUCCUAAAAACCUUCCCCUUGCAUAUCAAAAACUUGGGCUUUCAAAAGUAUUGUUUCUGAUCUGGGAUCAAGAACUUAUUUUGGAAAUUAGCACUGAACACUGACUAUUUAUUUUUCUCUGGAUUUCAACUGUCCUCAUUCUCCUUCAGGUUCUAUGGGAGCUGAACAAGGAAGAGAAGAAAAGUACAGACAUUUGUAUUUCAAGAUGCCUUUCUGCCAUAGCACUUACAAUACACUGGCACACAGCCUGGCACAAAAUAUGCAUGCUGUGCAUGCUAUUAGUAUGCUUUUAAAAUUAUUGAGUGAUCUUCAGCAGCAGCAUUUGCCGGGACAGCUUCCAUUACCACAGAUUUCUUCUUUGUCUGGUGAGCUCUGACUUCCUCAGAGCUAACUGCUCUAUAACCCCAAUCUCUCUCCCCACAUAGAUAUUCAGUGGUCUGGGCCACGGUUCCCUUUAGCAUUUCUUCCAAGGACCCUGGUGGCGUUUGUACUAAUGGAACUCCUGGAGACCUACUGUGUCUGCAAUGAAGCCGCUGCGCCCCUGCAGACGUACCCUUCUCCACGGCUGUUAUUGAAUCACAUCGAAAUAAGCACAGACGUUUGUCCUCUUUGCUUGCCUAUUGCCUCUGUUUUGCUUAUUACCUUUUUUUUCUCUUAAAGAUCUAGGAGUACAAUAUUUGAAUUUCUGUUUUCAAAACCAAAAAAUGAAAAAGCAUAAGGCAAAUCAAAAAUUACUCAACUACAGCAAUUUGAAGACUAACAUCCUGGCCUUCUAUCUGUGGGGCUGUAAUGACUCGGAGGAUGAAAAUCAGCGUAUGCAAAGAAGAAUAUAUUCCUGGAUCCUUGCUCAAAUGUGGCUAUGUCAGAAUUUUGGAACAAAUAGGCGUCUACAAUGUGCUCCUCCCUGCAAUGACAGAAGUCGAGAACUCUGGUUAAAAAGAAAGAGAAGGAUAAAAAAUUGACUUUCAUUCAUAGACUAGUAGAGCUGGAAGGAACUUUCAGGAAUUGAUCAUUGAGAAGAACAGUUUUUCUCUUUGGUUUCAUGGUAGAAUCACCUGGGAAACUUAAAAGGUUCCCGGCACCACAUCUCAAAGAUUGAUUUAAUUGCUUCCUACCUACUCCAGGAAGGUGGUCAGGACCGGGUUAAACAGAGAUAGACCCUGACUGAGAACAUAUUUUUCUUGUUCAGGUACAUUGAUCAUGAUGGCAUCACAGCUUAAAGUACAGAGCGCUUAUUUUGAAGUGGCAGAGUUGAUCUUGGGCAAGACUCUUUCUGGGAGUAGAGGAAGAAGAUCAGGAAUAAACCUUGUGUUUAGAAGAAAGAAAUGAGAGGUACUGAGUUGCUUUCCUCUUCUUCCAUAUGCUGAAACGGAAGAAAUGAAAGAAAUCUGGAAGAGUCACGGGCUCUCUGAAUUGCUAGAAAACAUGGGACAUGAACAAUGAUGUGUCAUAUGGUUUGAUUGAAAAGGUAUGCUUUAAUUGAACAAUUAUCAACUAAUAUUUCUAAUACAAAUUAUCAUUCUAUUAUUUUUUCUACAAUCCAGGUAGUUCUACAAGCCACAUUAGCAGCAAAGAGUAUUAACAAAUGAGUAUGCAUUCAUUUAAUACCCAUUACAAAGGAGGAUGAAGUAAUACUCAUUGCGAAUGAGUAUUCACUCAUUGAAUUCCCCAGAUGGCAGUGACAGGAAUUAUUUUCCU
rnacentral:lncRNA from 1 species